rnacentral:lncRNA from 1 species
AGGCCCUGUCUGCGCUGUACAAUCAAAGCAGUUUCAUACCAAUUUAAAUAGUGGUUUAAACGUUCCUCUUCCUAGGGAAUUCUGGGAAUUGUAGCUCUGUGAGGGGAAUAGGGGCCUCCUAAUAGCACCCUUCACAAGCUACAGUUCCCAGGAUGCUUUGGGGAAAAGUUAUGACGGAUAGUGCUUUAAACAUGAGGAAAAGGGAACUCAGGUGUGUGUAUAUACUUGCCUGCUCAGACAAAAAAAAAUGCCAUGAUGGCACAUUGCCCCUAGGCCUCAUGCACACAAUUAUGUCAUAGAGCAUGGUUAUUAAAAGGGAUUCUGUGCUGGUGGAGUUUAUUAAGCAUUAAGCUGGCCACUCGACACACCAGUUAUUAGUGCUGGGAAUAACUGCGUGGAAAGUGUUGCCAUGAUCAAAGGCGCGCAUAAUUUUGGUGGCAAAUGCUUACUCCAGCCACAGGCCUUCAUUAGCCGUCCCUGCCUGGAGCCAUUUCGGUGGUUUCGGCAGGGCAGCAAAGGCCUAAUCUGGCUUUAAGAGCUACUCUCGCCCUAUAGCUAGCCCUGAGAAAGAUUAGUUCUGUGAGGGUGUCAAGUUUUAGGGAUCUCUCAACACCCUCAGAGGACUGUAAUUCAUGAGGUGGGGGCUAUGAAAUCCUAUGUAACACUUUUCAUAGACCACUUUUCCUCAAAGGAGUUCAAGGUGGCAUGUGUGGUUCUUCCCUGCUCUCCAUUUUGAUCCUCACAACAACCUUGUGAGGUAGGUUAGGUUGAGUGGCAGUGACUGGCCCAAGAUCAUACAGUGAGUUUUAUGACUGAGUGGGGAUUGAACCCCUUUAUGGCAGUAUUCCGACCCCUCCCCCCAACCACAAACCCAUUGUAAAGGAAAGGCCCUGUAUUCGACACCGUUUUAAAGAUAAAGGACCAUUAAGAAGGGAGAACAAGAGCAUUUUUUGGAAAUUCCCCAUCAGCUGUUAUUUAUUUGGUUGAUUGCACUUUACGCAAAAUACCUCGAAGCGAUUUCACAGAUCAAACAAACAAUUAAAAGCAAUCUCAUAUAUAAAAACAACUUCAAAUGCAGUGCAGAUAUCUGCUGACAGCAAACAGUGUUAGAAACUCAGAUAUAUAAGCUAGGUGCCAAAUGGCUCCUUAAACCAGGGUUACAGCUGCCAAAGUGGAAUGGCUAGUUGCCAUUUUGGGGCCAAAUGUAUUUUUCAAUAUAACUUCUUGGUUCCUGAAAUUCAUUCUGAUUGUGAAGAUAAAAUAUAAUGGGGAGAAUUCUACAUGGUGCGUUGCCAGUGUUUCAAAACAGUCAAGAUCCACGGAUCCCCAGGCAUGCGCCUCCAGAUGGUGGAGACAUCAGGUGCCAUCCUGGCAGCCGGGCAUCUUCACUUGGUCACAAGUGGCCAAUAGCCAGGUGCAAAAUGCAAAUUUCGAAUGCUGCUGAGGAGGCACACAGGGCAUCUGGUCACUGCGUUACUCUGAUAAAAUGUUAUUUCUAUUACAAAUUUAAUAAGAUUUCAUAUAAAUUUCAUAUAAACCAGCAUUUGAAAAAAAUUAUGUAAGUCUGUGCCCCCUUUUUUGUCGUCUUUUUGAUAUGCACUUCUCUUUUCACCCUAACCAGGCAAACUGGUGAAUUCUGGGCUCACCUAGUGUGGUGGUUGUGGGAACACAGCCAGCAGUUGCUAAGCAACUACAGUAUAAGGAAAGCAUCUGAAACACCCAACACUUCUCUGGGCAAAAAUGAAAAGAGUGCUCCAGCAUAGAGCUUUAAACUGUGGGGUGUGCCUGGAAAGCGUGGAGGAAAGGUAGGUAUAGCUAAACCCCGGAUCUUUACUGCUGAAUCAGAGCAAACGUCAGUAGGGGUUUUCCACACACUGACAUUUGCUCUGAUUCAGCCUUACUCCAGAAAAACAAAAAAUGGAUUAGCUGCAUUUUAAAGUGCUCCUUGAAAGCCCUACCCCUCUUCCCAUGUGAAUCGAGAGAGGAAUAGGCCAUGGAUAGUCGUUGAUGCUCUCUGGACAUGUUCAGAGGCACUAUCGUUAUUACUUCACAUGGGCUGGUUGAUGCAUUCCAUUCCCUGGCAUUCCUGGGACCUGGCAAUGCUCCAUGGCAGGGGUAAGCAACCUCCUCCUCCCCACCCCUGGAAGGGUUGCAUUCCAUCUGUAAUAAUCUUGCACAUGCCACUCCACACACCCCUAUUGCCCAUUUCUGUCUCUCUGGAGAGGGCGGGUGCGUGUUAUGGUGAUGAGUGACCUUAACUUUUUUUCUCUCUCCCUGCCACCCGCAUGAAAUUAGAUCUAGGGCUCCUCAGAAUCCUGGAGCACAGAUUGCCCACCUGGUUCUAUGCCACGGUGAGGCCAAAAGAGAGAGAGCUCAGCCAGAAUCGAUUCCCCAUUUUGCCCUCUUGCGUGUUAUGUAAGCAACAGGAAUUCCAUGGGGCAUCUCUGCCAGCCAGUACAGGCCUCAUGUCAUCCUUUAGCUACCUAAUCCAGGGCCAGGCACCUUGAAAUACAGUACUCUAGCUGUUCCUGCGUGGAAGGAACCAUCUUGUCCUUCUGAGUCUUCAUGGAAACCUGCACCUGAGACGAGGGAGGAAGAGAGAUUGCCUAAAGCCUUAGCAAAAGCUGGUGGAGACAUCGUUUCUGCGCUCAGCACUUUUUUAAUGUUGUCAGGCAGGCAGGAACCCAGGGAUUGGGGCUCCUGGCACACAGCAGACAAUGGCAAGGCUGCCCGACAUGGAGACUGCGCAAGAUUGCAGCCUUUCCUCAUCCCAGAGGAUCAGGGCAGGGGUGGGUCUGCUAUGAAACUAAUGAAGCUUAAGCUUCGGGGCCUCUAAUCCUGGAGGGGCCUCAGAAGUUGACCUUAGUCCACAUUGUUUAAAAUUUUUGGGUCGCAUGACUCCAUUAUAAUUUUAAAAAAUAACUGCAGCAUUCCUAAAAGCGUAUGGUCUGCCUUGCAGAAUGAAUCUCUGGCAACAUGCCUUCCCCUUGGCCACAUUGGGCGGAUCCCUGACCAAGAGCUCUUGAAGCUGUCCAGUUGUGUAGCUGAAGAAAUAGCAGCCAAGAGAAUUCACAAAAGCUUAGAAAAUAACUUUUUGGACAUCAGAGCAGCCUUCAGACAGGCUUCAGAGGUGCAUAUAUUAAACAGUCUACAUUUGUCAGGAAAGGUCAAGGAGCACCGGAUUUCACUGAAAUUCAGAGGCAAACCACACACCCUCUGGAUGGAAAAACAAUUAUUUUGAAGACUAGAAUGGUAUGCUGUUGCCACCUAGUGAUCAAAUCUGUGUAUAGCGCCUCUGUAGCCCUGCAGAAGGAAUGGAAUGUGUGUGUAGUUUCUCGCAUUGAACUUCUCCACUGGCAAAAGACAUGUAGGGCAGUGGGGGAAUCAGUAUUGCCAGAUGCAUUUGCUGUGCAUGGGAUUUGAACAAGAACUAUACUAGCUCCAGAGUAGAAAGCUGGAAUGUACAGCACGAAGUGAGGAAAGCACCAUUUCCCCAUCUGGAUGACUAGGUCUCUGCCAGGUCCGUUCUGUUUUGUUUUCAAAGGAAGGGCUCAUCCACACUUCCACUUGUCCUCUGCUUUGAAAGCAUGGGUCCAAGAGGUUUUGCCUUUGCCCCACUGCUUUCCCCAGGAAAACCUGCUCUUUAGAGCUAAAUUGGAGCAAAUGGCAAUCCACAGAAAACCCGAUUGCUGUUUGUUCCAAUUCAGCGCUAAAGAGUGGGAAGAAGUGGAGGGGGAAACAGAGGUGUGGCUAAGCCCUAAGUUUCUUCUCUUUUUGCAAAGCAUAUUUGUAUGUCAUUUUUCACUCUUACAUGCGUUUUUAUGCACCCUUUACCCUAGCCUAUGCACUGGGCUGAAAACUGCAUUGCAUACUUUGGAGCAGUGUGAAUUCCAAAGGGGCGGGUGGGUUUCGGCUCUUGUAGUCUUUUUAAAAAAGACUACAAUUCACUAUGCAUGGCUUGAAAUGCAAACUGAAUUGAAUUUGUCCCCCUUCUGUGACGGAACUCCAAAUACCGAGUGGGCAGCCCACCUAUCAAAUUUGGCCUGCAAGGCGUAGGGAAGACUGGCCCUAUGAGUUUCCCCACCCCUGCACUACAGAACGGUCCCCCUAUCGCUGCUCCUUUAAGGUCUGUGGUGUUUGUUAGUCCUUCAGCCACAAGACAAGGGCAGCCCAGUUUGAGUGCACCGUCCCUUGAGAGCUAUGUUCAUAAUAGCUCCCCUUCCCUUGUAAGGCUGUAGAAAACCUACUCUCAGAAAAAAGCCCAAAGCAGAGUACAGCAGAGCAAGUGCCUUGAUAGAAUGAAGGAUGACCUUAAUCUCCAUCUCCUUGGUGUCAGCCGGGGUCAUUGCAUAGCUCUGUUCCCUCACCAGCUGUGGUCAAAUACAGAGGAAGGUGCAUAGCCAGGCUUUCUUGCUUAUGGGUAGCAGCAGAACAGGAGCAGGCAACCUUUUCCAGCCAGAGGCUCACACUCCCUUCCAUGUACCACCCAGCACAUCCACACACACUUCUACUCACACACUUCUACAAACACAUACAUAAGAACCAUGGACAACAAGUGGAAACAGUUGGUAACCGCCUUCAAUUUUAACCUAAAGAUUGCCACCUGUCCAGUUUUAAUUUUAAUUUUAAUUUGUUUGAAUUAAUUGUGGGACAUAUCUUAAUUUAUUGAUCGCUUGUUUUUAUGCAUUGUCUUACUUGUAUGAUGUUAGCUGCUCUGAGCCCG